rnacentral:rRNA from 1 species
AUUGAACGCUGGCGGCAGGCUUAACACAUGCAAGUCGAGCGGAGUGAUGGUGCUUGCACUAUCACUUAGCGGCGGACGGGUGAGUAAUGCUUAGGAAUCUGCCUACUAGUGGGGGACAACAUCUCGAAAGGGAUGCUAAUACCGCAUACGUCCUACGGGAGAAAGCAGGGGAUCACUUGUGACCUUGCGCUAAUAGAUGAGCCUACGUCGGAUUAGCUAGUUGGUGGGGUAAAGGCCUACCAAGGCGACGAUCUGUAGCGGGUCUGAGAGGAUGAUCCGCCACACUGGGACUGAGACACGGCCCAGACUCCUACGGGAGGCAGCAGUGGGGAAUAUUGGACAAUGGGGGGAACCCUGAUCCAGCCAUGCCGCGUGUGUGAAGAAGGCCUUAUGGUUGUAAAGCACUUUAAGCGAGGAGGAGGCUCUUUUGGUUAAUACCCAAGAUGAGUGGACGUUACUCGCAGAAUAAGCACCGGCUAACUCUGUGCCAGCCGCCGCCGUAAUAC